UUACUCAUUCUUUUAUUUCCUCUGCAUUUACUUGUAAACUUGAUAUUAGGCCAAAACCUUUAGCGAAAAUAUUGAUGGUAGAGACUCCCUCUUGAGGAUUACUAGAAGCUCAUUGUGUAUUGUAAGAUAAAAGCUUUGGGAAUAGAAGUAUUUGUGAACCUAAUACCAUUAAACUUUUCAAGAUUUGAUGUGAUAUUAGGAAUGGACU
rnacentral:lncRNA from 1 species